GUUUAAGUGGUGGAAUUGGUAGACACGCUGUCUUCAGGCGGCAGUGCCGAGAGGCAUAGGGGUUCGAGUCCCCUCUUAAACA
rnacentral:tRNA from 1 species